AUUGAACGCUGGCGGCAGGCCUAACACAUGCAAGUCGAGCGGAGCGGCGGACGGGUGAGUAAUUCCUAGGAAUCUGCCUGGUAGUGGGGGAUAACGUCAGGCAACGGGCGCUCAUACCGCAUACUAUCAGAUGAGCCUAGGUCGGAUUAGCUAGUUGGUGGGGUAAAGGCCUACCAAGGCGACGAUCCGUAACUGGUCUGAGAGGAUGAUCAGUCACAUGGGAACUGAGACACGGUCAAGAAUCCUGCGGGAGGCAGCAGUGGGGAAUAUUGCGCAAUGGGCGCAAGCCUGAUGCAGCCAUGCCGCGUGUGUGAAGAAGGCCUUCGGGUUGUAAAGCACUUUCAGCGGGGAGGCGUUACCCGCAGAAGAAGCACCGGCUAACUCCGUGCCAGCAGCCGCGGUAAUUC
rnacentral:rRNA from 1 species